CCCCCCCCCCUCCUCCGCGCGGACUACAGCUCCCAGGAGGCAGCGUGUCCCGGGGCAGCUCCGCUCCGGCCGCGGCGCCCGCAGCCGCGCGGUGCCUCCGCUCUUCGUGCGGGGACCCGGGGUGUCCCGCCCGGGGACUUCCAGAGGGACCUAUGAAAGCCUUGUCCCGGAGAGGCCGGUCUAUUCGGGGAUCUUCUUUCACAGAAAAGCCGCAGGAAGAGAAACUCAUUUCUGAAGGUUACACACCUCUCUCCAGGAGCAGAGCUGCCUUCCAGGCUGAACGAGGGUGGUGUCCAAAUUAAACGAGCGUCGCCGUCUCCUCAGCUCGUUGCCUCGUCUGGAGCAGCUUCCAUGGGAUGCACGAGAGCCCGAGUGCCUGCGAGUGCCACGCGCGGGUGGUUGGAGAGACUCGUCCGGCUUCGCUCAGCUGCCGACAGCCCGGGAAGAGGACAACUGGCCCCAGCUCCGCCCGGGCUCCGCUUUCAGCGUCGCCCCUUUCUCCUCAUUCCCUCUCCUCUGCCAGGGUUUCGGUUUCUCAGACGACCAUCGCCUAACCCCUACGAGCCAAAGAGCACAGCGUAGAGCGUUAGGCAGAGAUGCCUCAGGCACAGUUGGUGCUUUUGUGCUGUUAUUUUUGUCACCAGGUCAUUUCAUGCCAGUACGAGGGUCCCCACCAGCUAGAGAAACUAUACGUGCACCGUGUGGGAGCAGGACGGCUUGAGAGCAGGGACCGGGCGAGAGGCCUUGCGUCAGCCUUGAGCCAUGCCACGCCGGCAAAGCCGGUUGCGGUCAGAAGUUGGAAGUGAUUUAAAGAACGCGAAUAGAAAUAAAGGAAAAACACGAGGCACGAAAGGCACCGUGCGCUUGCAGGCGGCGAGAUGCUCCUGGGGAAGGAGGGUGCCGGGCGCUGCUGGCAGCGAGAGCCGAUGGCGAGCUCUGCGGGGAAGGCACGCAAGCGGCUCGACAAGGAAAAACAACCCUUCGGUGUGGCCGAAGCUGGGCCUGCCUGUGUUUACACACGGGGGGAAGCUUCCCGGAGCUGCGAGCGCAGCCCUUUCCGGCGGGGCUCCCCCUCGGCCAGCACCGUCCCCGGCUGGCCACCACCACGCUCAGCGUUUCCGCUGCUGGGGAGGUGUUAGAAGCAGCUCGUGUUUUGCCGGAGCAAUUGACUGUAACGCCAUUG